UACGGAGGGGGCUAGCGUUGUUCGGAAUUAUUGGGCCUAAAGCAUCCGUAGCCGGCUCUGUAAGUUUUCGGUUAAAUCCAUGUGCUCAACGCAUGGGCUGUCGAAAAUACUGCAUAGCUAGGGAGUGGGAGAGGUAGACGGUACUCGGUAGGAAGGGGUAAAAUCCUUUGAUCUAUCGAUGACCACCUGUGGCGAAGGCGGUCUACCAGAACACGUUCGACGGUGAGGGAUGAAAGCUGGGGGAGCAAACCGG
rnacentral:rRNA from 1 species